rnacentral:rRNA from 1 species
CCUACGGGAGGCUGCAGUGAGGAAUAUUGGACAAUGGGCGAAAGCCUGAUCCAGCAACGCCGCGUGGAGGAUGAAGGCCUUCGGGUCGUAAACUUCUUUAGAGGGAGACGAGAAAGGACGGUAUCCCUAGAAUAAGCGACGGCAAACUACGUGCCAGCAGCCGCGGUAACACGUAGGUCGCGAGCGUUAUCCGGAUUUACUGGGCGUAAAGCGCUUGUAGGCGGUUCUGUAAGUCGGGCGUGAAAUCUCCGGGCUUAACCCGGAGUGGCCGUUCGAUACUGCAGGGCUUGAGGAUGCUAGAGGGUGGUGGAAUUCCAGGUGUAGUGGUGAAAUGCGUAGAUAUCUGGAGGAACAUCCGUGGCGAAGGCGGCCACCUGGGGCAUUCCUGACGCUGAGAAGCGAAAGCUAGGGGAUCAAACGGGAUUAGAUACCCCAGUAGUC